rnacentral:piRNA from 1 species
UUGGUGCGCGUUAAUUUAAACAAAUCUCCUA